GACGAACGCUGGCGGCGUGCUUAACACAUGCAAGUCGAACGGUGAAGCGCCUUCCUUUUUGGUGGGCGUGGAUGAGUGGCGAACGGGUGAGUAACACGUGAGUAACCUGCCCCCUUCUUCUGGAUAACCGCAUGAAAGUGUGGCCAAUACGGGAUAUUCUGGGUCUGUCGCAUGAUGGGUCUGGGAAAGAUAUUGUUUCGGUGGGGGAUGGGCUCGCGGCCUAUCAGCUUGUUGGUGGGGUGAUGGCCUACCAAGGCGGUGACGGGUAGCCGGCCUGAGAGGGUGGACGGUCACACUGGGACUGAGACACGGCCCAGACUCCUACGGGAGGCAGCAGUGGGGAAUAUUGCACAAUGGGCGCAAGCCUGAUGCAGCGACGCCGCGUGAGGGAUGGAGGCCUUCGGGUUGUGAACCUCUUUCGCCAGUGAAGCAGGCCUGCCUCGUUUGUGGGUGGGUUGACGGUAGCUGGAUAAGAAGCGCCGGCUAACUACGUG
rnacentral:rRNA from 1 species